GAUGAACGCUGGCGGUAUGCUUAACACAUGCAAGUCGAACGGGAUUCUUCGGAAUCUAGUGGCGGACGGGUGAGUAACGCGUGAGAAUCUGCCUUCAGGUCGGGGACAACAUUUGGAAACGAAUGCUAAUACCCGAUGUGCCGCGAGGUGAAAGGUUAACUGCCUGAAGAUGAGCUCGCGUCCGAUUAGCUAGUUGGUGGUGUAAAGGACUACCAAGGCGACGAUCGGUAGCUGGUUUGAGAGGACAAUCAGCCACACUGGGACUGAGACACGGCCCAGACUCCUACGGGAGGCAGCAGUGGGGAAUUUUCCGCAAUGGGCGAAAGCCUGACGGAGCAAUCUCGCGUGAGGGAUGACGGCCUAUGGGUUGUAAACCUCUUUUUUCAGGGAGGAAUAAAUGACGCGUACCUGAAGAAUAAGCAUCGGCUAACCCGUGCCAGCAGCCGCGGUAAU
rnacentral:rRNA from 1 species